AACCUGCUGGUCCAGCUCCCCUUUCACUUCCCCGCCCCACUGUGGAGCACCAGCCACCAUUCGCUUGUAUUUAUAUAGAUAAAUCGGCCGGGCUAAUUAAAGUGCUCUUGCUGCAGUGAGAGAAUUAAUAAAAGAACUUGGAAUGGAGCCGACCUAAAGCUGGGGCGCUGGGAGUCAGAGCUGAACCCUUGGCAGCAAAGGAGGCCAGAGGAGCCAGCAGACACAGUCCUCAGCUCAGCAAGUCCCCAAGCUGGUCUUUGAUGGGACAGGAUAUUCAACAGAAGCCCUAGUACCAGCUCAAGUACAGCUGCAGGUUCAGCCCUGACCUGGGAUUCUGCAAGCACCCCUGACUGUUCUGACCCAGAGCGGCCCCUCCCGCCCUGCAUCUGAGACCCAGGCCUCCUGGACUCCAGCGCUCAGUUGGGACCGAGGUAAACUAGAUACAGAGGCUGUCUGAAGUUGGACGAUUGCUGUAGCUGUACAUUGAGUUGAGGUGCAGAUCUGAUGUCCGAAGGGUCUUUGUCACAGAGAGGCCUCAAAGCCUCUAUGGAAAGAGUCCAAGCCAUAGCCUCAUCCAGAGUGACCUCUCUUCUUGGGCUCUAUCUGAAACUCAGGUAUCAAAGUCCCAUAGUGACUAGCAAACAGUAGUCUAUCUGUCCCUGCCCAGAGCACAGAGGUACGACAUGGGCAACAGUGCCAUGGGAAGACCUUCUUCUGUAGCCCUUCCUGGUGGUGAUGGUAGGGGCUCCUGGAGCAAUGGAGAAGUCUGAAUGCUGGCUUUAGCCCUGAACUGGGAUCAGUCACAUUCAUGACCCUGACUCCUCCAGAGGGGAGACACAGCCAAAGCUGAUGUAAGGUCCUUUCUAAUAGAAGCAGCAGAGAGAGAAGCAGAAACUUCAAAGGCUGGAGCAGGCAUGGCCUUGAGAAGGGUAGGUAUCCAUGGCCUGCUAUGAGUAAGGCACGACCCUACCCACUCAGCAUUGCCUUUCUUUCUUGUAGACAGAGCUAGCUCUUUCCUUCUUCAGCAUAACCUCGUCAUGGGGGUGACUAUGGCUUUGCCAUUUUACCAGUGGGCCUUUAUCGGCUGAAAGAGACUUUGGAUAUUCCAAGCAGUCAGAUGUAAGAGAAGGGAUAUUCCAUUCGAUCGGACAGGUUGUUUACUGAACAGAGGUGCUUGGCUGGGGAACAACCAGGAAAUGAAUCCAGCCUCACUGUACUAUCAACCCUGGGUUUUCCAGAAUAGGACUGAAUCUGCCCAGAACAUGAUGACACCCUGUGGACCAGUGGUGCCUCGAGAGGGCUUUCCUAUAGGGCUGCUGUCAGCCUCAGUCUCUUAAUAAUGCUCCUCCUUGCUCAAACCUAUCCCUCAAGGGACAUGGGACCAGUGAGCGGCUGAGAGAAUCUAUAGACCACAAUCGUGCUUGGAGUGCCAGGAAGAUAAGCUUUGGGACAAGGGACGUGGAGUGCUUCCUCCAUAAUACCAGUGGGGAUGGAGAGGGCUCAGGGUGUCUAGUCGGGAGGGAGGAAUCUGUGUGACAGACAACUACUUGGCUUUGAAUCUGUCCCCUCUUGUUGGCCUGACUUCUCAGGUCACCCAGUGUCUGCCCUGGCGAUUGGUCCUCACUGCCUUCAAUGGUUCCAACAGACAUGGAAAAAUGGUUCCUGCUCUGCUCCCCCCACCCGAUCACAGACCCACAAAGCCUUCAAUGCAGGGCUGUGAAUGCACAGCUCGGGUCAAGGACUGGCUCCAUCCAUACACUUGUCAAUCAAUCCCUGCCCAGGAUCCCUUCCAGACCUCGGUUACUAAGCGUGGUCUUGCCUGGGCAGCAGGGCCAGCCCCUCUGGAGUGCAGCCUGGAGUCAUACACAUGCGCCUGCAGGUCCCCCUACCCCCACUUCAUCUCUGAAGGAGCCCAGAUAAAACAGAGCUAAUCCACACAGGGAGAAGGGCUCUGUGCCUGCGGGGACCCAGGCACAAAUUGGGAUGUCCUGCUGCAUUACUUCCGCUGAGCUGGGCAUCAACCUCCCACCUCCAGCACCCAGGCAAGUGGGGAUAGUCAAGGGGGUGGGAUGGCGGUGGGGGAAGGGACCAAGCAGCCACCAGGCCUCCAUCAAAGGCGAUGGAGAGAGGGCAGCCCAGCAGAGAGGAUUUUUAAUGACCCCAAAUCCUGGUACCUCAUUAUGACUCUGAUAAGGUGAUGGGGCUGUCACUUCCAGAUGCAGCCAAGGGCUCCCUGGAGAAAUUUUCCUGCAUUCCUGCUAAUCUUCUUAUAAACAUUGUUAUUUAUUUUCCCUUAUUUUAUCCGACAUGUGUCAAGCAGCCCCUGCUAAGCCUGUGACAUCUCCAGGGAGACCAGAGGAGGUUGGCCUGUCAGUGCCAUAGUCCUGCCCCCUUUCCAGGCCUAUUCUCUAGCCGACAUGUUGUCGGGCCUGAAUGGGUAAUUUUCUGAUGUCUCUAAGAGUUUGGGCUGGGCCAGAACUGGGCAACUGGGAUCCGGGUGUUAAGUUAGCAGGUCGCAGGCCAUGUCAACUGGGGCUGGUUCCAAAGGAAAUGUGUGUGCGUCAUGGGCAGUGUAGUGUAUUAACGAGCUCUCUUGAAGCCUCAGGCUUGCCCUGGGUGUCCUUGGCUAAUACCCAGAGUGGCCAUCGAUGUGUGUGGCUCUGACUGAGGCUGCCCUAUCUCAGGCCCCAUAGUAAGCUAUGUAAGUAAGUUAAGUAAGUAACAGUGUCCUGUUCUUCCUCAGCAAGGAAAGCAAAGGCCAGGGGGUGAGACGUAUACCUAGGCUUGGCAGCCCAGGCUGCAAAGGGGCUGAUGCUUACCUAGGCUUUGACACUGGGGCUCGAUGCAAGGUCAAUGUCAUGGUCCCUUCACAGUUCCCAGGGACCACCUCCACCAACCAUUCAUGAACCAGGAUGGAGUAAAGCCCAAGGUCUUCUUCCUACCUCAGUCCACAAAAACAGGCUAAGAGAAGCUUCCUGGGUGCUGGGACUCCAGGUGUGUGCAGACCCCACUCAUGAGAAUGGCUUUGAGCAGAGCCUGUGGAAGGCACCAAAUACAGCCACCAAAGCUCCCAAGGAGUUUAUAGUCACCAUGGAGAUACCAACACAAGUCCACGGUUUCAGGAGGUGAAGUGUGAGCCUGCACUGUAUGUAUCUGGUCUUAGCAGCUAGCUUCCAAGAAAGGAGAGUGAAGAGGAACUCCAUAGUCCCACCAUGGAAGAAUCUGGAAGAUGUCAUCACGCAGGUCCUCAUGGCAAGUCCUAUCCAUGGUGGAUCCAUGAUGUGACAGCAAUCCCUGGGGGGUGGGGUCUCUGUCUGGAAAUAUUAUAUAACUCGUAUCACUCACGGUGUGCUGCUUUUCAGACUGCGUUCUUUCCCUCAUUGAUAUUUAUUUAAGUUUCCUCUCUGAGUUAGCUUUUAAAGGUAAAUGGUUUAGUAUUCUUCUGUCCUUCACCAAAGUUUAUCAAUUCCCCUACUAAAGGUCAUAUUGAUUGCCUAAAAGGUUUGGCAGUUUCCCUCCCCCCACCUCUCUCUCUGCAUCUUUGUUUUUAAAGAAUUAUUUAUU
rnacentral:sRNA from 1 species